GGAAAUUCCCUCAAAGUAACAGACUGCUUAACUUUCUCAUGAUCUUACUGGCUGCAAAGUUUGGUCACCUGCAGCAACUCUGUACCUGUAAAGAUUUAAAGAGUUGGCAGAAACUUCCCAAGGCCAGCUGCAGUUUCAGUUGCUGGAUGCCCACUGAGAUUAGUGUCUCUCCCCUGUCAGCUGAAUGGAUGUGACACUGCUUGCGCAUAAUGGCUGAAAUUUCACUGCAACUAUCAAUCUUGGGCUGAAACCAACAGAUUCUGAACAUUGCCCAUGCAUUGGGUUUCAUGCUUCAUGCUUUCAACCUACAGAUGGGGCCGCUUUGGAUUUGCAUAUCUGUCCUUAGAUACUGUAUGUACUCGGCUCUGCUCCUACUUCGAUACGGUCAUUGUGUGCAUUCAUAUUCAGAUACGGCCUACACGUUAGUGGCCAAGGUGCUCUAUGCCUCACUUGGACUCCCUGAAAACAGAGCUUGAGACGAGGGCCUUGUGCAGUAGAGACGGAGUUUCGCCAUGUUGGCCCAGGCUGGUCUCGAACUCCUAACCUCAGCUGAUCCACCCGCCUCAGCCUCCCAAAGUGGUUGGAUUACAGACGUGAGCCACCGUGCCCAGCCUCCUGUAACAGAGAUGUUCCAUACUGCAUCAAAAAGCCCUAAUUGCAGAGUUAUCAAUCAGAUGAAAAAUCUACUGCAAAUUGCAACACAAAUACCACCAACUGCAACCAAGCUGAAGUGACACCAUGAUCUAGCAGCUCUGCCCCAGCAUCUUCACCAUGGAACUCCCAUCCCCAGGUCUUCUCUCAAUGGUUCUAUUUUCCAUGGCUGUUGCUAAAUCAACCCCUCCUUUGUGAGGCAUCUGUUUUGGACAUUUAUUCCCUUUCUGUUGAUCACAAGCUGACUAAAAAGCAGUAUACAGAACACUGACUACUCAUCAUUUGCUUCAUGAUGCUAAUUUUUUAAUACAACUUAAAAAAGAAGUUAGCUCCUGGCUACCUGAUCUUACCUGUCCAAAGCAAUAGCAGGGAAGCUGAGGAUGGUCACAGAGCAGAAUACUUUGUGCAAAAAUUUGACGACCUUGCAGAAGAGCAUGGUGUAGAUCCACCAGCAACAGUGGGGACUGGUGCUGAGGAUGAUGUCGAAGGGCACACAGACCAGGCUGGCACAAAUCCCCGAGCAGGCCAGGUUUUUAAUGAACCUGUUGGUGACAGAUUUGAACACGGUUGUGCGGCAAGUUGACCAUAACACCAUGAAGUUUCCUGGUCAGAUAUGAAAGAAAAUAAAAUAAUUUAAAUAAAAAUUUUAAAACUAAAAAAAGGAAAAAAGUACAGGUUAAAAAAUGUAAUAAAAACACAUUUGAGAGUUGAUUUCAAAAGAUUUAAUGUAAAUCCUAUUAAUAUUAAAAUUUAACAUAUAUGAUACAUUACAGUCAAUUUAUGUGAAAUUAUUAAAUCACAUAUCAAUAAGUCUAG